UACGGGGGGGGCAAGCGUUGUUCGGAAUUACUGGGCGUAAAGGGCGCGUAGGCUGCUCGUUAAGUCGGGUGUGAAAACUCUGGGCUCAACCCAGAGCCUGCAUUCGAAACUGACGAGCUAGAGUUCUGGAGGGGGAAGCGGAAUUCCUGGUGUAGCGGUGAAAUGCGUAGAUAUCAGGAGGAACACCGGUGGCGAAGGCGGCUUUCUGGACAGAAACUGACGCUGAGGCGCGAAAGCUAGGGGAGCAAACAGG
rnacentral:rRNA from 1 species